rnacentral:lncRNA from 1 species
CAGGAGUGUCAGGAGAGCAGGUUCAGCCUCUCAGCAGCACAAUCUAGGCCUCGGAGGAGCUGUGGUUGUCACCCUCUACAGGAUGGGUUUUCCCGAAGCUGCCAGCUCCUUCAGGACGCACCAGGUUUCAGCUGCUCCCACCAGCUCUGCAGGGGAUGGAUUCAAGGCAAACCUCGUCUUUAAGGAGAUUGAGAAGAAGCUUGAAGAGGAAGGGGAACAGGAAACUGAAGAUUGCUGGUAACAUGGGACUGGCCAUGAAACUACAGAACCUUCAGCUUCAGCCGGGCAAAGCUAAGCUGUGAGGAGUCCCUUUGGCAACCUCAGGACAUCAAGAUGAGAUGUGUAGAUAGGUAGAGAUCCACGUCUCGUCGUCAGGACUUAGACUGACACCUCCCGAAUAGCAUGAGAUAGAUUUGUUGCUAAUUGGGUGCGGUCAAUUGUGUUUCCCCGAAGCUGGGAGGUACAUAGGGCCUCCCUGCCUGCACUGCUGCUUUGAGGACUUGCAUUCUACUGUGCUUGAUGAAGCUACUAUGUCAAUGAUGGUUUGGGGUAAACUUGAGUUUCAGAAUAAAAUUCAGAACAGUAAAAUCUGAAGACUGAGUAAACAAA